CACCUACGGGAGGCAGCAGUGGGGAAUCUCGCACAAUGGAGGAAACUCUGAUGCAGCGACGCCGCGUGGACGACGAAGCCCUUCGGGGUGUAAAGUCCUUUCGACCGGAACGAUAAUGACGGUACCGGUGGAAGAAGCUGCGGCUAACUACGUGCCAGCAGCCGCGGUAAUACGUAGGCAGCAAGCGUUGCUCGGAAUUAUUGGGCGUAAAGAGCUCGUAGGCGGUUUGCCAAGUUUGGUGUGAAAUCUCCCGGCUUAACUGGGAGGGUGCGCCGAAUACUAGCAGGCUAGAGUACGGGAGAGGAAAGCGGAAUUCCUGGUGUAGCGGUGAAAUGCGUAGAUAUCAGGAGGAACACCUGCGGUGUAGACGGCUUUCUGGACCGAAACUGACGCUGAGGAGCGAAAGCGUGGGUAGCAAACAGGAUUAGAUCCCCUGGUAGUCCACGCCCUUAUCGUUACAUACUUGGUGUGA
rnacentral:rRNA from 1 species